AGUGAACGCUGGCGGCAGGCCUAACACAUGCAAGUCGAGCGGAUGAAGGGAGCUUGCUCCUGGAUUCAGCGGCGGACGGGUGAGUAAUGCCUAGGAAUCUGCCUGGUAGUGGGGGAUAACGUCCGGAAACGGGCGCUAAUACCGCAUACGUCCUGAGGGAGAAAGUGGGGGAUCUUCGGACCUCACGCUAUCAGAUGAGCCUAGGUCGGAUUAGCUAGUUGGUGGGGUAAAGGCCUACCAAGGCGACGAUCCGUAACUGGUCUGAGAGGAUGAUCAGUCACACUGGAACUGAGACACGGUCCAGACUCCUACGGGAGGCAGCAGUGGGGAAUAUUGGACAAUGGGCGAAAGCCUGAUCCAGCCAUGCCGCGUGUGUGAAGAAGGUCUUCGGAUUGUAAAGCACUUUAAGUUGGGAGGAAGGGCAGUAAGUUAAUACCUUGCUGUUUUGACGUUACCAAAAGAAUAAGCACCGGCUAACUUCGUG
rnacentral:rRNA from 1 species